AACGAACGCUGGCGGCAUGCCUAACACAUGCGAGUCGAACGAUGCCUUCGGGCCUAGUGGCGCACGGGUGCGUAACGCGUGGGAAUCUGCCCUUGGCUUCGGAAUAACAGUUAGAAAUGACUGCUAAUACCGGAUGAUGUCCCCCUGAGAGAUCUUGGGGACCAAAGAUUUAUCGGCCAGGGAUGAGCCCGCGUAGGAUUAGGUAGUUGGUGGGGUAAAGGCCUACCAAGCCGACGAUCCUUAGCUGGUCUGAGAGGAUGAUCAGCCACACUGGGACUGAGACACGGCCCAGACUCCUACGGGAGGCAGCAGUGGGGAAUAUUGGACAAUGGGGGGAACCCUGAUCCAGCAAUGCCGCGUGAGUGAUGAAGGCCUUAGGGUUGUAAAGCUCUUUUACCAGGCAUGAUAAUGACAGUACCUGGAGAAUAAGCUCCGGCUAACUCCGUG
rnacentral:rRNA from 1 species